GCUGGUUCAUCUGUCAACGUUACCAGAGCUUUGCCUCAGGUACAGCAAGGUGUUCCUCUCCAGUCACAGCACGAUGUGUCACUUGUGGGUGGAGCCACGUCAGGUAGAAGCAGCCGCCGCGAUGAUCAGAGGACGAACUGAGAAAUGCAGAAAUAAAACGUGGAUGAAACCCUUUAGAGUCCACGUUUGUGUUUCUGAAAGGAUUCCUGCUCAAACGUUUAGUUUUUGUCUCGCUGAUGGACAAACUUACUUACUAGCGUUGUUAGCAUUACCAGUGAAGCUAACGAUGCCAGCCAGCCUCCUCACAGAUGGACGUGUUCACGCCUUACAACAGGAAGUGGACUGAAUGUCGACCAAACUUUUCAUUUUGAAUGCUUUUGUGAUUCCUUUUCUCAGAGCCUUAUUCUGUGUAAGUUCUGUCAGUGAAAGUAUUAAAGAUGGGUACUGUUACUGCAAAAUCCUGAGUGAGUUUAUCAGUGCUGCUGUCUCCUCCUGAAAUGCUGGGGUGGCCUGUAAAUGAGCCACGAGUCGCCCUCAGGUUGUCCUCCUGCAGCAUCACAGCUCGGCCAGCAGGUGGUGCUGCUGCACUGAGUCUCACUGUGUUAAAAUGCACCAGAUUUCCACUGAGCUCCAACUGUGACUUUAUUCUGGUUUUUUCCAUUCCUUCAGCUUCCACAAAUUGGAUCUGAGGUGUUCAUGACUAGAACAACAAAACAAUUUUAAAAUCAGACUUUAAAUAAAAGCCAACAUCUGCGUGAGGCCAUGUGGGUUUGAUGGCAGACGCAUGAAACUCUCCAAACUGCAUAGUUUGUUAUAACUCAUGUAACCCCUGCGUUAACUCUGACACACACAGAAACAAGCAAUUUAUAGUUCAUACAAAUGACAUUUUCCCUGAAUGUUAGAUUUUACUUUGGCGUCCAGUCAGACGUGAUGAUCGUGUCUGUUCAGGUUAUCGUUUUAUGUGCGGCCACACGUGAAGCUGACAUCAUGUGAAAUGGUUUGUGGGUUGUACUUCUGUAAAGCAGCACAGGAUCACAUCACACAAACAUCACGUGAGCUGCUGGGCCCGAUUUGGCCCGCGGGCCUCGAGUUUCACACCGAAUGCCAUCUGUGUGUCAAAUCAAAUUCUCACUAAUUCACUCGUUAGAUUCUUAACUGAUCACACUGUUUUGUGAAGUAUUUCUACUGCAUUCCUGUACUGCUUUUACUGAAGCAGUGAGUACGAGAUGAAAAUGUUUGGCGUGACUUCAGACACAAAUCAGACACUUGAUUUACUCUCAGAAAAAUGUCUCACUGCUGUCACUGACUCUGAAAAGCUCACUGCAUGGCUUCACGUCAGUGAUCCAGCCUGGCAAAGCCUCCACCAAUCAAACGACAGGGGGUGGAGCCAGCAGGCAGGUGGGCGGAGCCAGUGACCAUCAUACGUGGGCUGCUGCUGUCAGUGAGCAGCGAUCAGACGUGUCAGAGUGCUGCUGUCUCUCGGCCAUGGCCUGUCUGAUGGCCGCCUGGUCCGUCCACAACCCCACCGUCACCAACUCCAUCAUUAUGAACACCAACGGGCCCCCGGACCUGAUGUUGGACCCCCGGAUGGUGUGCGUUUGUAUGGACGAGGUGGUCAACAAGCGGCCGACGGGCAGCCAGCAGGCGCCGCUGCUGCAAGGACACCUGAAGAAGGUGGACAACAACCUGACGGAGGCCCAGAGGUUCUCGUCGUUACCACGGAGACCAGCGGUCAACAUCGAGUUCAAAGACGUCUCGUACUCCGUCAGAGAGGGACCCUGGUGGAGGAAGAAAGGUUACAAAACGCUGCUCAAAGGGAUCUCUGGGAAAUUCACCAGCGGGGACCUGGUGGCCAUCAUGGGGCCCUCAGGAGCCGGAAAGUCCACCCUGAUGAAUAUCCUGGCCGGGUACAGGGAGACGGGGAUGAAGGGGGAGAUCCUGAUCAACGGUCAGCCCAGAGACCUGCGCUCCUUCAGGAAGGUUUCCUGUUACAUCAUGCAGGACGACAUGCUGCUGCCUCACCUCACUGUGCAGGAGGCCAUGAUGGUUUCAGCCAACCUGAAGCUGCAGGAGAAGGUGGAGGCUCGAAGAGAGAUGGUCCGGGAGAUCCUGAUGGCGCUGGGUUUACUGGACUGUGCCCAGACCAGGACGUCUCACCUGUCGGGGGGUCAGAGGAAGCGACUGGCCAUCGCUCUGGAGCUCGUCAACAACCCGCCGGUCAUGUUCUUUGACGAGCCCACCAGCGGUUUGGACAGCUCGUCUUGUUUCCAGGUCGUCUCUCUACUGAAAGCUCUGGCUCAGGGAGGACGGACCGUCAUCUGCACCAUCCACCAACCCAGCGCCAAACUGUUCGAACUCUUCGACAAGCUGUAUGUUCUGAGUCAGGGUCAGUGUGUCUACAGAGGGAAGGUCUGCAGUCUGGUCCCCUACCUGAGAGAGCUCGGACUCAACUGCCCUACGUACCACAACCCGGCCGACUUCGUGAUGGAGGUGGCAUCAGGAGAGUACGGAGAUCAGAUGGUCCGACUGGUGAAAGCCGUCCAGGACAGGACGACCGAGAGGGACUAUCAGAGCGAACUGAACGGAGACACCAACCUCCACCCGUUCCUGUGGCAGCGCACGGAGGAGGAGAGCUCGUCGUCUGAGGGCUGCCACAGUUUCUCAGCCAGCUGCAUGACUCAGUUCUCCAUCCUUUUCAGACGGACGUUCCUCAGCAUCCUCAGAGACUCGGUGCUGACUCACCUGAGGAUCUCCUCUCACAUCGGGAUCGGCGUUCUGAUUGGUCUGUUGUACCUGGGCAUUGGGAACGAGGCCAAGAAGGUGCUCAGUAACUCAGGGUUCCUCUUCUUCUCCAUGCUGUUCCUGAUGUUCGCUGCUCUGAUGCCCACAGUGCUCACAUUUCCUCUGGAGAUGGGAGUCUUUCUGAGGGAACACCUGAACUACUGGUACAGCCUGAAGGCUUAUUACCUGGCCAAAACCAUGGCCGACGUCCCCUUCCAGGUAGUAUUCCCGGUGGUGUACUGCAGUAUUGUGUACUGGAUGACAGCUCAGCCCCCGGACGCCGGACGCUUCUUCCUCUUCCUGUCUCUGGGCGUUCUGACCUCUCUGGUAGCUCAGAGUUUGGGUCUGCUGAUUGGAGCCGCCUCCACCUCGCUACAGGUGGCGACGUUUGUCGGCCCAGUCACAGCGAUCCCUGUGCUGCUCUUCUCGGGGUUCUUCGUCAGCUUUGACACCAUCCCCUGGUACCUGCAAUGGAUGUCCUACAUCUCCUAUGUCAGGUACGGUUUCGAGGGCGUCAUCCUGUCCAUCUACGGUCUGGACCGAGAGGACCUUCACUGCGAUGAACAGGACACCUGUCACUUCCAGAAGUCCGAGGCCAUCCUGAAGGAGCUGGACAUGCUGGACGCCAAACUCUACCUGGACUUCAUCGUUCUUGCCAUCUUCUUCUUCUCUCUCAGGCUCAUCGCUUACUUUGUCCUCCGCUACAAGAUCAGCGCUGAGAGAUAGACCAGGACCAGGACCAGGACCAGGACCAGGAGCAGGCAUUUAGGAACAAAACCUUUAGGCCAAAGUUAGCGUGUAGCUGUGGAGUUUGUCUACAUGUCAACACUGAAUCUACUUUGGCUCGCUGUUAAAAAAGGAAUGACACUAAAAAGAGGCGGCAUGAGGGGACAAAGAGGACAAAGUGUCAUCAGAGGACGAGGUGAGGACACGUAGGUCCUUGAGGGACAGGAGCUGGCCUCCUGAUUCCCAAAAGUUCAACUGUGCCAGAAACUGAAGGACUACAACAAGCUGUCCAACGGAACCGGAGACAUCACCUGACAUUCACUUGUGGUUAUCAGGUGGGACAGACGCUGGACGCUCGUGAUUUGAUUUAUUUGACUGAGGACACGUCAGCUGAUGUGAUGGUGAUCAGUUACACUCAGCUGACCCUUAGUGGCGGCUGCAGAGAGGUGUUCAUCACUGAAGGGAGGCUCCAUAACAGAAGCACAACGUGGAUCCUGCUGCAGAACUCACUUCUGUUGAGAAGAUAAACUUCACCUGAGGUGGUUUGUAAGAAGUAACUCCGACCUCACUGCUGAAAACAGUCAGAUGUUUAGCAAAUUCACCAAAAUGAGUCCGACAAAGAAAUACAAAACGUUUCAAGUAUUUGUGUUAUCUGUAGUAUGAAGUAAGCACACGUCUCAUUGUAAACACACAGACAGCUCUGCAGCUCUAACAGCUUCCACUCUUCUGUGAAGGCUU